CCAGCCGCAGCGCAGUCAGACAGCGCGUGCGCCUCCGAAGCGCAAGGUCGUUGGGGCGGAUCCAACCGGCUGGUCCA
rnacentral:tRNA from 1 species